rnacentral:lncRNA from 1 species
AGUUGUGCCCACGCACCCAACUGUUCCAGUAACAUAAAAGCAACAGCAGUUGGAGAUACUUAAGGCAGCCAUGGUAUUGACAGAAAAAGACUCUGGAUUUGGAUUGCAGCUGUAGCAUUUAUUAAAUGCACGUCACAACCUCUCUGAGCUUCGUUUUCCCCACGUUUCAAAUGGGAUGCAGUGGACCCUGUUGCCUACCCGAGAACAACUUCAAAGCAACUUUGAGAGCCUUGUAUGGAAGAUGGCAACUUUGAGAGCCUUGUGUUGAAGAUGGCAAAGCCACAAGAUGGAAAGUGCUUGGGUUCUUGGAUCAUUGUAUGGAGGGGUUCUGCCCAACUAGGAUCACCCAGGCUGGAUUGUCAUCAAAGAAUUGGGUCCUGAAAGUAGCAUACUCAAUGGGGACUGUGAGCAUGCAUCACUUAAUCAGUACAUUGGCACUCCACUCCCUCCUGGGCCAGAUUGUAUGUAGGUCAACACCUCCAGUGGCUGAACCUCCAGAAGGGCUAUCACAAAGGUCUGAGAAUCUGUCUCCCUUAAGGCAGCGAGAAGUGG